AGCUUGCUAAUGGACUCAUGGCGGACGGGUGAGUAACGCGUAAAGAACUUGCCCUUUAGACUGGGAUAACAGAGGGAAACUUCUGAUAAUACUGGAUAAGUUAGUAUAUCGCAUGAUAUGCAAAUGAAAGCUACGGCACUAAAGGAGAGCUUUGCGUCCUAUUAGCUAGUUGGUAAGGUAAGAGCUUACCAAGGCGAUGAUAGGUAGCCGGCCUGAGAGGGUGGACGGCCACAAGGGGACUGAGAUACGGCCCUUACUCCUACGGGAGGCAGCAGUGGGGAAUAUUGGACAAUGGAGGGAACUCUGAUCCAGCAAUUCUGUGUGUGUGAAGAAGGUUUUAGGACUGUAAAACACUUUUAGUAGGGAAGAAAAAAAUGACGGUACCUACAGAAGAAGCAACGGCUAAAUACGUGCCAGCAGCCGCGGUAAUACGUAUGUUGCGAGCGUUAUCCGGAAUUAUUGGGCUUAAAGGGCAUCUAGGCGGUAAGACAAGUUGAAGGUGAAAACCUGUGGCUCAACCAUAGGCUUGCCUACAAAACUGUUGAACUAGAGUACUGGAAAGGUGGGUGGAACUACACGAGUAGAGGUGAAAUUCGUAGAUAUGUGUAGGAAUGCCGAUGAUGAAGAUAACUCACUGGACAGAAACUGACGCUGAAGUGCGAAAGCUAGGGGAGCAAACAGGAUUAGAU
rnacentral:rRNA from 1 species